rnacentral:rRNA from 1 species
AAGUCGUAACAAGGUUUUCCUUCCGGUUAAAGAUUAGUUUCUUGUAACUACCGAAGCCUUACACACCGACUGAAAAUAAAUGUGGAGUCCUGCCUAGUUAGGUGGAGACAAUACCGCUGAAUUGCUGUGAUCACAUAAGUGUACCAGCAGCCUAUCAUGUAGGCCCACAGAUCAAGUAGCGGUGGUUUCUAGCUACAAGGCUAGAGACUAUAAUAUGACCGGUCCUAACCUCAAACGGUUAAGAAUCAACGUUCCGUAGGUGAACCUGCGGAAGGAUCAUUAAUGAGUCAGGGUCUUUCAGGCCCGAUCUCCAACCCUUUGUAUAACUACCACGUUGCUUUGGCGGGCCCGUCUUUAACCGGACCUCCGGAAGGUUUUUAACCCCUGGCCAGCGCUCGUCAGUAGCCCUUGACAAACUUUUUUAACCAUGUUAAAUCUGAAAAUAGUUAAAUAAACUAAAACUUUCAACAACGGAUCUCUUGGUUCUGGCAUCGAUGAAGAACGCAGCGAGAUGCGAUAAGUAAUGCGAAUUGCAGAAUUCAGUGAGUCAUCGAAUCUUUGAACGCACAUUGCGCCCUUUAGUAUUCUGAAGGGCAUGCCUGUUCGAGCGUCAUUAUCACUAAUCAAGCCCGGCUUGCUGUUGGACCUUUUGUCGUCAAAAGACAGGUCCUAAAGAUAAUGACGGUGUCUUCUUGACCUGGAUACACGAGCUUUAACCAGCAUGUAUCUACAGUGGACUUUUAGACCCGGUCUUUUUUUAACCAAUUCUUUUAGGUUGACCUCGGAUCAGGUAGGAAUACCCGCUGAACUUAAGCAUAUCAAUAAGCGGAGGAAAAGAAACCAACAGGGAUUACCUCAGUAACGGCGAGUGAAGCGGUAAUAGCUCAAAUUUGAAAUCUGGCUCUUUUAGGGUCCGAGUUGUAAUUUGUAGAGGAUGUUUCGGGCACAGUUACGGUUUAAAUUUCUUGGAACAGAAUGUCAUAGAGGGUGAGAGUCCCGUCUUGAACCGAUUACUUCGUCCAUGUGAAACUCCUUCGACGAGUCGAGUUGUUUGGGAAUGCAGCUCAAAAUGGGUGGUAAAUUUCAUCUAAAGCUAAAUAUUGGCCAGAGACCGAUAGCGCACAAGUAGAGUGAUCGAAAGAUGAAAAGCACUUUGAAAAGAGAGUUAAACAGUAUGUGAAAUUGUUGAAAGGGGAGCGCUUGUAAUCAGACUUGAGCUUAACAGUUCCCCCUUCGUUCUCGUAGGGUUAUUCUGUUUUGUCCAGGCCAACAUCAGUUCGAGUGGUUGGUUAAAGACUUUAGGAAUGUAUCUACCCGCCGGGGUCGACUUAUAGCCUAGAGUGUCAUGCAGCCUACUUGGACUGAGGAACGCGCUUCGGCUCGGAUGUUGGCGUAAUGGUUAUAAGCGACC